UACGUAGGGGACGAGCGUUGUCCGGAAUUACUGGGCGUAAAGGGCGCGUAGGCGGUCAUUUAAGUCAGCUGUGAAAUGGUCCGGCUCAACCGGAUCAUGCGGUUGAAACUGGAUGACUGGAGUGCUGGAGAGGCAAGUGGAAUUCCCAGUGUAGCGGUGAAAUGCGUAGAUAUUGGGAAGAACACCGGUGGCGAAGGCGACUUGCUGGCCAGCAACUGACGCUGAGGCGCGAAAGCCAGGGGAGCAAACGGG
rnacentral:rRNA from 1 species